UUCCUUAAAAGAUCUGUCACUUUUAUUCGUUCUCUCAGAGUCGUCGUUCCUUCAUCUCCGUUUUCCACCGGCAGAGUUGGAAACAGAAAGCCUCGUGUUGGUUGCGGGCAUUCCUCUGCCUCAUGGGGAUAGAGUUCCUGGAACAUAUUAGGUGGGGACUUUGACAGGAAAUUGGUUUAGGUGAGGUCUUGAUGGGAGGCUCCACGAUGAGAAGAGUGCCCUGAUAAGAAGAGAAAGAGUUACUGGAGCUCUUUCUCUGUCCACGAUAUGAGGACACUGAGAAGACAGCCAUCUGCAAACCAGAAGAAGCCCAGAAAACUGGGUCAACUGGCCCCUGGAUCCUGACAUUCCCAGACUAUGGAAAUAAACUAAAUAAACCUAAUAAAUAAAUUCCCGUGUUUAAACCA